rnacentral:rRNA from 2 species
AAAAGUCGUAACAAGGUUUCCGUAGGUGAACCUGCGGAAGGAUCAUUGU